rnacentral:rRNA from 1 species
CCUACGGGAGGCAGCAGUGAGGAAUAUUGGUCAAUGGGCGUAAGCCUGAACCAGCCAAGUCGCGUGAGGGAUGAAGGUUCUAUGGAUCGUAAACCUCUUUUAUAAGGGAAUAAAGUGUGGGACGUGUCCUAUUUUGUAUGUACCUUAUGAAUAAGGAUCGGCUAACUCCGUGCCAGCAGCCGCGGUAAUACGGAGGAUCCGAGCGUUAUCCGGAUUUAUUGGGUUUAAAGGGUGCGUAGGCGGCCUUUUAAGUCAGCGGUGAAAGUCUGUGGCUCAACCAUAGAAUUGCCGUUGAAACUGGGGGGCUUGAGUAUGUUUGAGGCAGGCGGAAUGCGUGGUGUAGCGGUGAAAUGCUUAGAGAUCAUACAGAACACCGAUUGCGAAGGCAGCUUACCAAUCUAUAUCUGACGUUGAGGCACGAAAGCGUGGGGAGCAAACAGGAUUAGAUACCCGGGUAGUC